rnacentral:rRNA from 1 species
UACGUAGGGUGCGAGCGUUGUCCGGAAUUAUUGGGCGUAAAGAGCGCGCAGGCGGUCGUUCAAGUCGCGUGUGAAAGCCCCCGGCUCAACUGGGGAGGGUCACGCGAUACUGAUCGACUCGAAGGCAGGAGAGGGAAGUGGAAUUCCCGGUGUAGUGGUGAAAUGCGUAGAUAUCGGGAGGAACACCAGUGGCGAAGGCGACUUCCUGGCCUGUUCUUGACGCUGAGGCGCGAAAGCUAGGGGAGCAAACGGG